AUGAGUAUGACGAAAAAUUUGACGGAUUGUCAAUGAUUUUCUCCUCAGGAGAACAAGUGAUCAUACAACCAGCUACUUCUGACUCAU